GCCCGGGGACGUCUCGCUUCAUCUGUCACCAGCUCUGCUCGCCUGCCCAGCUGUCAAAACAGGGGGUGUCUUUUUCAUUCCAGCUCACAAAGUACCAAAGGGGAAAGGGGCUUUAAUGCCUGUGUUUGGACACAAGCAAUUAUCCCUAAUUAUUGUUUUUCUUUUGAGCCUGCCCGUCCUGCUGGAGAGCCAGCAGAUGAGCAUGCCCUAAUCCUCCCCAGUCGGUUGAUCUCAGUGGGUUUUGCGGGACAAACCGGGCGAGAAGGCUUCGUAGCUUUCAUCUCGAUGUGAGUUUUGAACUGAUUGAAACUCAUUGCGAUGGAAGAAUUAACCUCGGAGCCCAGGCUUUCAAUGGCCCCUGAUAAGAGAUUAUACGUGUUGAUGGCAAGCUUUUCUUGGCAAAAUGUUUUCAAAGGGCUCGGAGCUGUUAAAUCAAAGCCCUAUUGAAUUGCUGGUAGGCCUCUCAGAGCUCUCCCCCCUUCUUCAUUCCUGUGUGUUGGUAAUUACUAGCAGGGGUGGGAGAAGGAAAACAGAAAAUCCCCUCGGAGGUACACACACAUGCGCACAAAGGUGAUGGGCAACAUCAAGCAGAGAAGUACGAGGAAGCCAGUGGAAGACCAAGGUCUAACAAAAGAAAAUCUUCCAGGAAAUAGAGGAGGAGAUAAGGAUUUUCCAUUGGAAAAACAGUCCAUUUCAAGAUAAAUGCUGACAAGGCACCCACUGCAGGAAUGUGUUGAGCUGGAGACAAAAAUCUGCUGGCAGGCAAGGAGAGAUGUUUGGAUGGCCCAAAUCUUGUUCACUUACUAGGCAGGGCCAUGGGACAGGGUUAUUACAUUGAUGUGCUGAUUGUUUGAUGAGAAAAAGAAAGCAUUGAUAUCCAAGACCAGAAACAUGUUAACAAACAAACAAACAAAAUAAUUUUGGGAAUGCUACUGACAGUAAAAUACUACCUUCUCCACUAUGUUAGCAUGUGGUGGUAAUGAGGACGUAGUGGAAGCAGUGGCAGUAUGAAGAUAUAAAAACAGCUUGAUGGAUAAGAUAUCUGGGAACUGCCUUAGAGAGGGGAGAUCAGCGCAGGUAGGAGCUGGAGUGCUGUAAACCCAUACAACAACCUGUGGAGGUAUUAGAGCCAGCUGCCUCGUCUGAUGCUCCAGCCAAAGGAGGAGGCCUAGGUUCCAAGCUAUUCAAAGUGUGUGCUGCAGGAUGGUAGUCAUACUACCCAGACCAUCCAUUUUUAAAUUUUACUGUUUAUGGCAUUUGCUUUUUCUCUCUAAUAAUAGUCCAUAUUUUUAGAGCUCUAUGUUUAAAAUAUUUUCUUGUGAGGAAACAUAUUUGGGUUUUAGAAUGCUUGACUGAAUACUGGUAUGCCUUGUCUUCCCAGAUCCUGAUCCAAGUUCUAGCCACAGUAAUUUACUGAAAUGACCUUGAGAUCAGCCCUUUAUAAUGCUUGGUGUUUGCCAGAACACAAACAUGUAAUAUUUUUUUCUUCAUUUAGAAGCUUAAGCCAUAAUACUUAAAUAAUAUAACUAAACUGCAAUUACCUGUGCUUAGGCAGUACAAAUGCCAGAACAGUAACCUUUGCUUUUAACAUGGCAUUAAAUUGCCACAAAAAUCCAAGUUGUUUGGGUUCCCUUCAGCUUGUAUUUUAUCAUGGAAAUUUCUUGCCAGCAGAUCUUUCAGUGAGAGUAUUGAUAGCUUUUGCAAAGUAGGCUUUUAAGUUGAAAAUUUGUAAGGUUCAUUUUCUUGUUUGUUUGCUUUUGUCAAAUCUUAACAAAGAUUUGUUAAAAUGCUAAGAUACUUAACAACAGCAUCUUAACAACAACUGGAAUUACAUAAUGAAAAAUUUGGCUUAUUCACUUCUUACUGUUGACUAGGCCUAUGAUUUUUGUGGAGAAUAAUAAUAGCUUUACUUGUUUUGGUUGUUGAAGUGCUCUGCCACAGCAUCCUAUAGAGUUCAUAGGCUGUGCAGGAUCUUAGGAAAGCUAUACAUUGCAAAGAGUUUCUUCUUCUUUGGUGAAGUGCCUAAAUCAUCGCUAAACCUUUGCAAAGUUUAUUGGUAAGAAUGUACUUGCAGAGAUUAUACUCUUUAUAGAAGCAAGUAGGUACAAUGUGGAUUUUACAGCAACCAUAGGAUGAAAGGAACCUGUAAUAGGAUAGAAGACAAGCCUGUAGUAGAAGAGGUAGAGUAACUGUGUAAAUAUUUGGCAAUUCUGAAGACAUCUAAGGCUAAGACUGUUUCACUGCUACUUCAGAAAUGCCUGCAAGCCCCAAAUAGUUAAAAAGUUUGCCACUUGAAAUAGUGCGUGUCCAGCUUGUAAAGUUAAAGAUUUGGGGUCAGCCCCAAAGGCUUUAAAUUUUUUAUACUCAGUGAGAAGCAGCACUUGGAUCCAACAAGGAGAUGGUGGUAAUGUGGUAUAAUAACAACACACUUAUUAGCAGCUGCAGCACACCAGCUCACAGACCAACAGAUGCAGUCUUUGUUGCCAAAUAGAAAGACUGAUAGCACAUAAUACAGUAACAGAGCCCCUGAGGUUCUUGGGAUCAGAAAAGUAUUUUGGGUUGGUAGUUUUCGUGGACUUGACAUAUUGAAACAGUUUUGGCUCUAACAGCCUCUGACCAAAUUCUUGAUAUAAAAAUAACUAACUUGACCAUUUGUAGUUCUCUAUCCCAUUCAUGCCAGGACUUCCAAUGUCUCAGCUGUCAGUCUCUUGACUUAGCAAAAGAGUCCUUGUUCCCUAGAGCAAGGAGGCCCUAUUAGUAUUUUCUAUUGAGAUAUUUCAUGGAUAAAUUCCACAUGUUGCAGGACCACUGUUGGUCACAUAAACUUGUUAACCAACCCAGAGAGAGCGUUGCUAUAACUAUUUGCUUAAGUCACAAAGAAUUGCCAUCUAAUCACAUACAAACAGCUACACAGUACUGUCCCCUCCACCACAUUUCUCUUUGCCAUAGCUCAAUAAAUGCUCCAUUAUUCAAAGCAAUAGCUAGACCAUUUAGAAUUAAAAUUCAGUUGUUGCUCAGCAGGAGCAAAGGGGAGAUCUUAUGUGAAAGUACUGUGUAGUCCAAAUAUCAUUGUCCCUAUUCUUUCUACAUGUUACUUUCUUCAGAAUAUUUCUAUUGGUGUCUGCAAUUGUUUUAAACACUUACUAUCACUGAAGGACAAAAAAUGCUGGGAAUAGGUACCACACAACCUGUGCCAAGUACUUAAUAUAUGGUAUUACAGAGAGAGAGACCAGUGUUUGUAUCUGGAAUCUAGCUGCCAAGCAUUAAAUCAUUUUUUAGAUCAAAGUGAAUCCCUAUUUUCAACUUCCACUUGUUUUAUAAUAAUAAGGUGUUAAAGUAAAAGAUAAAUGUUAUCCUUAUGAAGCAAAAGUUUUCCUAGGUAAGAUAAUUGUAUUUCUGUAUAUCUUCAUAUAAUGUAACAGGGUUUUGAAAAAAAAAAUGAGCCCAAGGAAAUCUGCAAACACUUAAAAGAAGAACCAGAUUUUAUGUUUUAUGAGAUCGAAAAGAAAAAAUAUUCUAGUUGUAGCAGGUGCCACAAACCACAGAGAAGAAACUACAGAGAUUAAUUAUAACCAAAUAUAUCAAGGAAAAGAAAUGCUAGCCAGUAAAAUUUCAUGAAGUAAAAACAAUAGAAAAGUAAGAUAAGACACACAUCAAUGGGCUCAGACAUUACUCAGUUGUUAAGAGAUGCUUUGCUGACACAAUGUUGUUCUGGCAUGUUAAUUCUGGCACACUGUCCACAAGAUACAUGUCUAAGAUGCAGAGUAAUAUGUAAAAAAUCUGGUAUUCUUCAUAGAUGAAAAAUCUUGGAUUAACUCAUUUUGCUAUUGUGCUUUCUAUAACUAUAUCAGAAGGGAAUCUUAGUACAGAAUAUUUUGUUCAAUAUCCCUUGCAUAUAGGUUAGUACAUCCAUUAUAUUAUUUAAAUUGUUAUGUUUACCAAAUGUUUCACUUAUUUUUCUACUGUUGUUCUGUUUGAAAUAUACAUUUUAAAAAAUAACUAAAUACAUAUUUCAUAAAAUCUCUUUCAUUUGCAAAUUCCAGAGAACAUUACUGGUAAUUUCCCAGUACUAAGCUAUAGAUCUUGGCCAAAGCUUACCUUUUACCCCAAAUGCAAUACUAUAGCUUGCCUGUGCAGAUUCCCCAGACACCCCUGUAUGUUCAGCUGCACAGUUCAUAUCCACUCACAGCUUCAUUUCAGCUGUAAACCUACUGUCUCUACUGGCCAUACGCAAAUGGGUAUAGAUGUGAUCAGGGACACAUGUUUAAAGGAUUUAUUUCAAGUUUUGAAUAGUUUGUCACCUUGAGGGUUUCAGCUUGUUUAGAGGUUUAUUCUGACCAGUUCGAUGACUCACAGGGAGAAAGAGCCUUUUUCUUUUUAAAGCUUGAGCAGAUGACAAGCACUUUGAGAUUAAAACCAGGACUACUGGAGACAUUUUUUCCCCUGUUUUUGUUUGGUUGAUUUUUUCUGGUUGUUGUGGUCUUGGUUUUGUUUGCUUAUUUGAUUGUUUUGGUUUAAGAUUUGUUUGAAUGGGUGUCAUAUUGUAAUGUUUCUCUCCUCUCACAACACAUCCCCAAAACACACUGUGCAAAUUUCCCUGGACACAAGUGAGAGCAGAAUGGGAUGCAAGGGGCCUCCAAGUAUUAAUGACUUGAGCAAGGAGUGGCAGCAAGGGCUGAGUGACAGCAAGUGCUGUUGAAAUUCACACUCUAAUGUAGCUAUCUGAGUUAGGAAAAUUAAUGCAUCCAAAUAUCCUGGUGGAACUUUGAAAUCAGGAGAAUGUCUGCAUGAGGGCUUCCAUACCCACAGAAAUGAGAAUUUAGAAACACAGGAGGAAAUCACUGCAUCAAACUCUCUGAUCAUAAUGUCUCUUGAAAAAACACCAAGAGACCUUGGAAAGAGAGACUAUAUGCAGAGUGGUCAAUAUGCGUGUCACAAAUCGUAUAGUCUAAGCACCAAGUGCAGCUCUUCUUCCUGAUGGUCUGUGGCUGGCUGUGGCCAAAUUCCCCAUGAAAUACAAGACAAUAAACACUGGAGAUCCUAAAGACACCUGAUUUAUCUUGAGACAUAUCUUCAAAUACUGCCCAGACAUGUCUCCUAGUGGAGCCGUGGAACUUCGGCUGGCCUUUGUUGUAUCUCAGGGGCUCUCUGUUUCCCUCUUUUCAGAACUGUGUGAUACAUGUCUUUCAUUUCUCGGACCCUGAAGAUUCUGGCAUACAGUUUGUGUUAUAUGAGGUGGUGCUCAUGCCUGGCCUCAGGCUCAGAGCUUGGGGAGCUUUGACAUGAAGAUGGCAGUCUGAAGUCCCUGCAAAAAAGCAAGUGAUGGAUAAUAUCCCUGACAAAUUACCCUGAUGGUUCCCUCUGAAUCUGAAGUGGUGGCAUAUAAUCAAAAUCUAACAGCAAGCAGAAAAAAGGCAAAGCAUAUUCUCUGUGCUACUUUAAGAGUGCCAGUCCAGAUUUUCCUCCAGCCUAUGCUUGUAACGAGUCUUAAAGCCAAGUGGAAAAGACAACCCUCCUAACUAGAAUAAAUACGCUGCAGCAUGUGCUAGUGGGAAAAAUACCUUAUAUUCCCUUUGCAAAGUCCUAGCUGAAGCCAUAACACAACAUGUUUUUCUUUUGUUGAGUUUCGUCAGAUCUUUUCAAUUAAUUGUACAUAUGAGAUACUUUCAGUUGAAACAAAAUACAUGACUCAAAAAUAAAGGCAUAAUUAAAAAUAAAUACUUCUAUACUUAAAUUUUAACUAUGAUGCAUAUCUGCCUUUUGUGUGUGUCAUUUCUUUGGACUUGUGUGGCAAGUUUAUGGUAGUGUGGGAGUUAUGGUUACAGGGGCAGCUUCUGUGAGAAGCUAUCAGAAGCUUCUCCUACAUAAUUGCCUCAACCAAGCCCAUGCCAGCUGGCUCCAAGAUGGAUCUGCCACUGCCAAAGCUGAGACCAUCAGUGAUGGUGGUAGAACCUACGGGAUAAUGUAUUUUAAAAAAAUGGGGGGUAAGUUACUGUGCAUGUUCAAAUUUCAGCCAGAGAAGAAAGGAGUGAAAUUAUGCAAAGGAAAAACAUGGUCAGUGAAGAAGGACAGGAAAGAGGUGCUCCAUGCACCAGAGCUGAGAUUCUGUCGCCUGUAGCGUGAUGCAGAUCAUGGUGAGGCAGCCAUGCCCCUGAAGCCCCUGGAGGAGCACAGCGGAGCAAAGAUCCACCUGCAGCCUGUGCAGGACACCACACCAAAGGAGGUGGAUGCCCUCAAAGGAGACUGUGACCGUAUGGGAAGCCUGUACUGUGGGACAAAAGGACCUAUACCCACUGGAGAGAGACUAGACUGCAUAGCAAGUUUGUUGGCAGAACUUAUGACCCCAUGGGGUAUCCUCUCUAGAGCAUUCAGAUCCUGAAGGACUACACUCCAUGGAAGGGACCAAUACUGGAGCAGUGGAAGAGUGUGAGGGUCCUUCUACAAGGAAGGAGAGGCAGAGACAAUGUGUGUUGAACUGACCACAACCCCCAACCUUCAUUCCUCUUCACUGCUGUAUAACCUGUUAUAUUCUGUCCAGCUGAGGAGGGAAGUGACAGGGAGGCUUUGGUGUCCAGCCAGGAUCAACAGUUGCAUUUAAUUUACCUUGAGCAGACCACAGCAACAGGGAGCUCACUGGAUUGCAAGAGGAAAGUGCUCCUGAAAUGUGCCAGUGAUUUCCCUGGAGAGGGACACUGCUGGUGAGCAGCAGUGUGUGCUAGGAAAGCAUUGCUGAAGACCUGGAGUGGCCACAAGUGAGCACAGAAAAGUAGUGGGGAAGCUGUAUCACUGACAGUGGUCUAUUUGAUGCAACUUAAACAACUAACAGAUGUAGACCUUGGACAUCACAGUCAGAGCUUCCGUUCCCUUUAUCAAAAUAUUCCUCAGGAUCAAGAAUGACUGUGGAAAAAUGUGUCAGUCAUGGAGUCAACACUGAAUUGUAAGAAGCAAUCAUAAUAAUACUAAAUUUGGAAAUUUUUGAAUGUUUUAUUUUUCUGAAAUUAUUUUCAUAUAAAUUAAACCCUAAGAGAAUAAUACAAUUACUUUGAAGGUUAAUUCUGCUAUUUUGUCAGUCAUAGGACUGUGAGCUCUUUCCUGUGGCUCAGCCACAUUUAUGCUUGGGAGAAGCCACCUCAUGGCUUGUGUGUUUGAAGUUUACAACAGCUAAUGUAUGUUGCAUUGAAAGAUGCAACUGUGCCUAUGGAGUAGAUGUAUCUCUUGUUAGUCUUUACCACCAGGCUUAGUUUGGGUGGUCUCUAGGGGGUGUGUACGUAUGCAAGGGAAAUCGGCAGAGCCCUGGGAAGGUGCUGGGAACCUCCAUCUUGGCUUGCUGCUAAUACUCUCUAAAAUAGGAAACAAUGAUGCAUUUGCUCCAAAAUCCUGCACAGAGCAGGGAAUAUUAUUUUAUGCAUGGUAAUCUAACAUAAAUGUAGGGGAUUUUCUUGGUGAAUAUGAGGAGGAAGCAAGUCCUGAAAGCAAAGUGUUUUGUUGUCCAUGCCUGAAUUUGUCUGAGCCUGGAAAAACCACGAAACAUUCCUAAAUCCUGCUGUGUCCUCAUAAUGUUCUGGAAGACAGCAUAAGCACAGUGUAAGUGUAGGCUCCUCCUCCUGUGGCCCACUUGACAAGUGAGUUUUUGCUGUUCCAGGUCAUGACAGUGGCAGGUGGGGCACAUGGAGGUAAUGCAGCUUGGCAGACUCUUCCAAGGCUCAUCCACACUGCAGGAGAGCAUAUCCUAGAGAAUAUUUAAAUACUUGGUGUGCACAUCAAGUUUUCCCAGAGAAAACUAGUUUAAUGGCCUCAAACUGCUCAAAAAGCCCAGUGGGUAAGCAGUGGUGGACUGAUGGAGAAGUUGGCUUCAAAGCCACUUGGCAUGGCAAGGUAAAUAUUAUCACCUCAAGAUUAAAAUUUGCUUUAAAAUAGCACUUUUUUGAGUAAAUUAUAAAUCUUGUGAUAAUUUAUGGCCUUCUGAGGGGGUGCAGUUAUUUGUCUUUGCCACUUGGCACUGUUUUUCUCUUUGACCUCUAUAUUUUUAAAUAAUUUGAGAAAGAAACCAAAAACCUCUCACUCAUAACCAAGGAAGAAACAGUAGUCUUCUGAGUUCCAGAUAUAUGCAUUGGUGUAAGCUGUGUGUGCAUUAUUAUUUAUUAUCAUAAAUGGCAAUGUCUACUAGCAUAUGCAGAAUUGCUCAUAAUUUAGUAGAUUUGUUAAAGCUGAUGUUAUUUCAUGCAAACGUAUUUUGAGCAUGUCUCUUAGUGUGGCGCCAGAAGUGAAAUAAAUUUCACUGCUUAACUUCUUUGCUGUGGCUGACUGAAUGACUUCAGGCAUGGCAGUGAGCAAUACUUCAUUCUCUGGUGUAAUUUGUAUAUAUAGCUUAUUUGUGACAAAUUAACUUUUUCUAGGGAAGCAUGGAAAAAAGUGCAAA